GCAUCCUAAAUUUAUAAAGAUAGAAUUCAGCAUUAAUCAUUCGGCGUUCAACGAAAGCAGAUGCGCUUUUAACACGUGGAGAGUUUUUUCAAAUUUACACGAAACUGAUAAUUAAAAAUUAAUCACAAUCGGAAUGUUAAAAAAACAUUAGCAAUACAUGCAGAUACUGUGUUAAAAUGUUUUUAAAAAAGUUUAAGGAGUACUUUUCACAAAGUUGAUAGAUAAGUAAAAGAAAUCAAACGCUGCCGUUGCUAUUAUUACACAAUAAGUAAAAUGAAAGAGCCCAUGGUGGGUGUGAAAUUCUUUCAGAGAAACUUAUUAAAAACGGUUUACCUGCAAGACCGUAAGUGAAGAUACAACUCACGAAUAGUCGGUUUACUGAAGGAAUUAAAAAAAAAAAAAUCUUCUGAAGAAAAAUAAAGAAAUUGCUGAGCCAGUUUCCAUAGAAAGAGCUCAUAAGCAUGAAAGUUAUCAGAUAAACCAAGAGCUAUAGUUUACAAUAUUUUUAAUUGUCAGGGUAAAGAAAUUAUUUGAUAUAUAUUCGUCCAAACUUUAAAAGAAAUAUAUACACAUAAAUGAGGACUUUAGCGAAAAAACAGCAAGAACUCGUAAAGAACUGUUCUCUCAGGCAAAAAUCCAUACACAAUGAGAAACAUCAAAAGUUAUUUAUAAUCGUUAGAGAAACCAGCUGAAAGCAACGAAAACAAACAACGAAAGGUGCAAAGAAGGAUUGUUCAAGAUAACGCAUACGAAACAAGCAAAAUCAUUUUAACUGGACAUCAACAAGUACAACAGGUCCAUUUUUUGUGCUUUUACUUACGUACUAUUAAAUCAACGAUAGUUGUGAUACUAGUUAAUGAUACGAUCAGUUGGUGAACGAUAAACUCGUAUUACAGCUAUUGUAAACCAAUUGUAAAAAUAUCGCAUCACAAAAUCAAUCAGUUUUAUCAGGUUUUUAUCUCUAGAAAGUUCAAAAGUUAGUUAAUAGCAUCCACUGACAGGCCCUAAUGAUGCAACAUGUGAAGAUUUAAAGGAGUUUAUUUCUCUUAUGAAGUGUGCUGCCAAACCCUCAACAGAUCGUUACACUUAAGAAAAUAUAGAAAAACGUUAAGAGAAAGGAAGCUUAAAAAAGACUAGAGGACUCUUAAAUUAAAGUUUGUAAAAACUAUUUUUAAAUUUUAUAGUUCAAGAGCGCGAUUCUAGGGUUCAAAACGAGAGUUACAAGAGAUUUACAAAAAAAAAUUAGUAUAGUUCUUAACUACAGGCCGCUUCAAGAGCCUUGGAGAGGUAAAUUUGAUGGGAAAAAAAAGAAAAGCAAGAAAACUAUAAGCUUCAAUACGACAACAAUAUUUUUAUUGGGUAUACAGCUGUUUUUAUGACAAGAAGCUUUUAUUUUUUAAAAAAUAGACUUAUUGGAUAUAUGAUGAAAAAUCAUUACAACUUUCAAGCAAACAAAGAUUUACAUUAUUUGCAAUGAAACCUACAUAAAAAUUGACAUCAUUUCUUAUUGAUGAUUUAAUGAUAUUUUCUAACUUUACCCUUUUUACGCAAUAAACAUUAAGUUUGGUCCACAGCUUUGGGCCACAUCUCUGUUAUAACUUGUUUAGUUUGUUUUUACUCAUUCAGUCUUAUUUGUCAAGGUUUAUGUUUUAGCGCUAGAGAACUGUGAGAAAUAUUGUUUAUUAUUUGUUUCAUUAUGUACAAGAUUUUAGAUUUUAUCUUAGAUACAUUAUAAUGUUUUAUAUAACAGGCCACUCUACUGAUUAUGCAAGAGUUUUUCAUAUGAGCCAUAUAUGACAAUUGCAUACUUACCACUCUCCUUACCACUCCCCUUUAUGGGAUGGCUAUAGUGCGUUCCAUAUGUGGCUUUAAUGUUUAUCCCACUAAAACCACACUAAAUAGAAACGAAAGCCACACUUUAUUUUGGCGUGAAAGUUUUGUGUGGCCCACGUGUGGUAAGCAUAUGUUAGCCAUAUAUUAACCAUUCUAUUUUAUAGGAUGGCGCUGGUGCGUUUCAUAUGUGGCUAUAAUGUUUAUCCCAUAAAAACCACACUAAAUAAGACCAAAAGCCGCAUUAUUUUCCUAUAAGAAAGUUAAAAUAAAUAUAUAAACAAAUAUUCUGACUUGUUUAAAUACCAUAUUUAAACAAGUCAGUAGAUUUGUUUAUGUAUAGAAUAUACCAAUAAUUAUACAUAUAUACCUACACAAAUACUGUAUGUAUACUUAUUUGUAUAGGAAUACCACUUAAAUAACUUAUAUGGAAAAAAAUCAUACUUUUUGUUUUUUUAUUUAUAAUUUUAUUCACAGAUAAUAGAUAUAUACGUACAACAACUUUUCAUUAAAUUUAAAAAAUUCAUUCUGUAUUAGUUCUGUACACAAAACUAAUCUGAAUUAUGCAAUGAAGACGCAAUAUUUUCUUCAAAUUCUUUAUCUAGCAUUCUUACAAUAUCUUCGAGCAGUAGUUAAAGAUAUUUUUAUAUGAAAUCCAUGUACACACAAAAAAAUCAAUAAUAACAAAAGCUUGGUUCAUCGCCCGCCAUUUUAAAAUCUAACGUUCUUUUUUGGUAGCAAACACUACAUAUUAAGAUAUUUUUACCUUCGUUUAGUAUAACUCUGAUUACAUUUUUUUUUCGUUAAGUAUAACUCUGUUUAUAUUAAGUAUAACUUAAGUAUAGCAACAAAUUUUUUAUUCGUUAAGUGUAACUCGGAUUUACAAAUUUCAUUGAUAGUUAAUUUUGAAUAACAAUUCUCAAAUAUAUUAAUUACAAAACCGCUCGAACAUACUUCAACUAUGAAUUGAAAAUUAUCAACUAUAAACCACAUGAUAUUAUUGAAUAUUCUAGAGUUUGUUACAAUGCAUUGCAAUGGAAUCGUAGUUUACAAUUGUUUAAAAUUUAAAAUUCAAAAUGAGGCAAGAUGGUGUGUUUUAUACGUAUAGCCCAUAAGAUAGCCACAUAAUUUAGCAUGUAUUUGUUUAAGGAUUAUAUCAUAAUAAGUGGAAUAAUUAUGUGGAUGCAUUAUGUGUUCCACAUGUGGGCCACACUGAUCAUCAGCAUAUAUAUCAAUCAUCAACUGGAAUAUAGUUUCACACCUUUAUUCCAUUUGUAAGCACUAUGACCACAUGUGAGCCACAUAUACCUUUCUUGUCGCGUAGGAAGACAUUUGACACAGACAAUUAUAGUAUUAUUAACAAAAUUAGAAAACUGCGCAAUCAAAAAAAAAAAAAAAAUAGCUUGGUUUACAAGCUACUUAUGUAAUAGAAAACAAUUUUUAUUCAACAGUGAAAAAACUAAAAGUAUGACAAUUGUGGUGUUCUUUAAGGAUCUAUGUUAGAAACUUUUUUUUAAAUAUAUUUAAUAUAAAUAAUGACUUAAGCAAUUAAAUCGUCAACAUUGAACUUCUAAAACUAACUAAAUGGUUAAAUUCAAACAAUUGUCUAUUAAUUUAAUUAAAACUAAAUUUACUUUUUUUGAUCGUCUUCAUUAAAAAAAACAACACAAUCCUAACACUUUCAAGUGUUAGGAUUUUUGAACACAUCGUGAAAGAAUGUUCAAUGAAGUUCUUUUGAUCGAAAAACUCUUGGUUAGUUUAAAACAAAACUAAAACUUUUAAAUAAUGAGAAAAUUGAGAAUUAUUUAUGAAGUGUUCAUAUCUGGAAAAAUAUAUU
rnacentral:lncRNA from 1 species